AUCCAGCUGACGAAUCCCAAGUAGGACGAAACGCGCCCUGGAU
rnacentral:hammerhead_ribozyme from 1 species